AAUACCAUUAAUUUUCAUGAACCCCUAAUCUAUAAUGAAUGACUCCAUAUUUAUAUGGAAGACACCAUGCUAGGAUUAGUAACAAGAAUUUAUAAUUCUCCAAAAUGCAAAUAUAAACCAACAUGGAUGGACCAUUGGUAGUUACCGAACCUAAAUUCAAUGCAACAACACCUACAAGAAAACUCUGCAGUACUUACUCGUUAACCUAACACCAGCGCAUUACAGGAAAGAUUUAAAAAAAGAGAAGGAAUUCGGCAAAUGACGGCCCCGCCUGUUUACCAAAAACAUCGCCUCUUGACUUAUAAUAAGAGGUCCAGCCUGCCCAGUGAAUUUUAAACGGCCGCGGUAUCCUAACCGCGCGAAGGUAGCAUAAUCACUUGUUCUUUAAAUGGGGACUCGUAUCAACGGCAUCACGAGGGUUUUACUGUCUCCUCUUUUUGAUCAGUGAAAUUGAUCUUCCCGUGAAGAAGCGGGAAUAAAUUUAUAAGACGAGAAGACCCCAUGGAGCUUUAAACCAAAUAACAACUUAACCACUUAUCCCAUAAUAAAUUUAAGCCCUGUUAUAAGGUUUUUGGUUGGGGUGACCGCGGAGUAAAACACAUCCUCCACGACGAAAAAAACAGAAUUUUUAUUUAAGAACCACACUUCUAGAAAUUAGUAUACUAACGUUUACUGACCCGACAAUCGAUCAACGGACCAAGUUACCCUGGGGAUAACAGCGCAAUCUACUUCAAGAGCUCAUAUCGACAAGUAGGCUUACGACCUCGAUGUUGGAUCAGGGUAUCCCGGUGGUGCAGCCGCUACCGAA
rnacentral:rRNA from 1 species